rnacentral:rRNA from 1 species
AUUGAACGCUGGCGGCAGGCCUAACACAUGCAAGUCGAACGGAUCCUUCGGGAUUAGUGGCGGACGGGUGAGUAACACGUGGGAACGUGCCCUUUGGUUCGGAACAACUCAGGGAAACUUGAGCUAAUACCGGACGUGCCCUUCGGGGGAAAGAUUUAUCGCCAUUGGAGCGGCCCGCGUCUGAUUAGCUAGUUGGUGAGGUAAAGGCUCACCAAGGCGACGAUCAAUAGCUGGUCUGAGAGGAUGAUCAGCCACAUUGGGACUGAGACACGGCCCAAACUCCUACGGGAGGCAGCAGUGGGGAAUCUUGCGCAAUGGGCGAAAGCCUGACGCAGCCAUGCCGCGUGAAUGAUGAAGGUCUUAGGAUUGUAAAAUUCUUUCACCGGGGACGAUAAUGACGGUACCCGGAGAAGAAGCCCCGGCUAACUUCGUGCCAGCAGCCGCCGCGG